rnacentral:rRNA from 1 species
UAAAGGGUCCGUAGGCGGUUUAAUAAGUCAGUGGUGAAAGCCCAUCGCUCAACGGUGGAACGGCCAUUGAUACUGUUAAACUUGAAUUAUUAGGAAGUAACUAGAAUAUGUAGUGUAGCGGUGAAAUGCUUAGAGAUUACAUGGAAUACCAAUUGCGAAGGCAGGUUACUACUAAUGGAUUGACGCUGAUGGACGAAAGCGUGGGUAGCGAACAGGAUUAGAUACCCUGU